UACGUAGGGGGCAAGCGUUAUCCGGAUUUACUGGGUGUAAAGGGAGCGUAGGCGGCGAUGCAAGUCAGAAGUGAAAUUCCAGGGCUCAACCCUGGAACUGCGUUUGAAACUGUUCUUCUUGAGUGAUGGAGAGGCAGGCGGAAUUCCGUGUGUAGCGGUGAAAUGCGUAGAUAUUAGGAGGAACACCAGUGGCGAAGGCGGCUUACUGGACUGUAACUGACGUUGAGGCUCGAAAGCGUGGGGAGCAAACAGG
rnacentral:rRNA from 1 species